rnacentral:piRNA from 1 species
UAAGAUUCUUCAAUGGCCUUCUCAUCUCUAG